GGUAAACAAUGCAAUUGCAUAUACCCUGUCCCCUUUAACUCUGCUCCUGUUCUCCUAACACUGAUGUUUUUGUCUUCCUAGGGUUACCUCUGUGGAAGCCAGCAAUCUUCUCCAGUUGGACGGUCGACCACUGAAAGCUCUGACGCCGUACACUUCGUUGAAGCCCAAUAGACAAAGACCAUCGACUGUCCGAGCCACCCAGGAGGUAUCCCAUCCACCAGAGCCAGUCUGAUUCUCAGAGGGGGACCGGUUUAAAGGGUUUCUGCCAAACACACAGACGUGGAUCCACCUAAUGUCCUCCAUUACCAACCACCCUCCAACUUUUCAUUACAUCUACAUCUACUGUUAUUGUCAUUACCUGCUAAGAAAGUUCUUGCUCUAUCAUACUGGGCACAUAAUAUGUGAGAUCCACAGAUGAACUAAAAACACUAGCACUGCAAACAGUCAGAGCAAAGAGAGCAGCAGUGCCUGGACUUUGCAGCCUCCCUGUUCAAAUCCCCCUUUCCGAGAAUGGCUGCCUGUUGAGAACACGUCUAGGAUUACCAUAUGCUGAGACAACACACACUCCUUACUUAUAAAUUGAAGAAGGAUGUAUCCCUGCUACAAUGUCAAGCCUUGUCAAGUCAUUGGUGAAGGAAUGGAGACGAGGUAAGGAAGCUAUUUCAGUCUACAGAACAGCCUGAAUGUCCUCGACCUUGCCUACUAAGAACCUUGCUACCUGAGGGACAACAGUGCCUAGUCACCACAGCUUAGUCUGCUGACUCACAUCUGAGGCUUGGCUUAUAUAUUAAGCUACAUACACACUAUCUUUCUCAGCUGAGAAAUCUGACCUCAUUCUACAUCCUCAAACAAAGGUUGAAUGGAAAGUGUCUGAAGAGUAGAGAGAGAUUAAUUUAUUGUAAUUAUGUGACAGGGUUGCAGUGCCAUAUUUUGAUGGCAUUGAUGAAGGUAUGUUUUAACAGAG